UUUUAUAACAACAGGGUACCUAUUGUAAUAUUACGUGGUAUGUAUGACUUAGUCAAGUCUAUGGGGAAAUUAUGUUUUAUUUAUUUUUUAUUGUGAAUUUUUCAUAUUGACUACUGAAUGUUGUAUACAGUCAAUGUCUACGAGCCACAUCAGCAAAUAAAUAUAACAGCACAUCACUUUUAUUUUAGUAGCCUAUAUUACUUGCUUUUAAUAACAAAAGUCCAGCUGAUUUAAUGUGGUUAUCUUUUUUUUAAGGUAAGUACAAUACAAAUAGCAACUUAUUAUUUACCAGGAAACUCCUACAUUUGCGGACAUAUUUGAAGUGGUGCUUUGCAAUUUAUUUACUGUAAACACAAGUAUUUUAGCCAAAUAUAAUUUAUGAAAUGGCAAACCAGAAUGAAACAACAGCAGAUAUCAGCUCCCGCUAAAGCAAAAGACGACUACAUGCGUAGGUUAGUGCGCAGGUGUAGAGCGCGCAGCCGUCUGCAGGAGGUUUGCUGGAACGUGAUCCUGAGGUGAAAUUUCUUUAAGAGGUUUUAAAAACGUUCUACAAUGUGGAGUACAGCUGCGAGUGAUGUUAGCAGGUUCCGCAUGCUGGAUAAGAACAGCAUUUGUGAGACGACAUCAACUCAUCAUCCGAGUGGACAAGAACACCAACAGAGGAAGCCAAGCCGCAAAAACAAUGAAAAAUUGUCAUGACUUUUUAUUUUAAAUAAAAGUUAUGUGAUAAUAAACAUUAAGUGUUGGCUUAAUUAUAGUGUUUUAAAGAUGUUUUGAAAUAAGUUGUUUUAAAAUAAAAAUAACAAUAUUCUGUA